AGCAGCCGCGGUAAUUCCAGCUCCAAUAGCGUAUAUUAAAGUUGUUGCAGUUAAAAGCUCGUAGUUGAAUUUCGGGAUCAAUUAGUCGGUCGUGCCUCUGGUACGUACUGGUUUUAUUGGUUCCUCCCUUCUGACGAAACAUGAUGUCAUUAAUUUGGUGUCGUGGAGAAUCAGGACUGUUACCUUGAAAAAAUUAGAGUGUUUAUAGCAGGCUAACGCUUGAAUACAUUAGCAUGGAAUAAUGAAAUAGGACGUUCGACCCUAUUUUGUUGGUUUCUAGGAUCGACGUAAUGAUUAAUAGGGAUAGUUGGGGGCAUUAGUAUUCAAUUGUCAGAGGUGAAAUUCUUGGAUUUAUUGAAGACUAACUACUGCGAAAGCAUUUGCCAAGGAUGUUUUCAUUAAUCAAGAACGAAAGUUAGGGAUCGAAGACGAUCAGAUACCGUCGUAGUCUUAACCAUAAACUAUGCCGACUAGGGAUCGGGAUGAUGUUAAUUUUUUAAUGUACUCAUUCGGCGCCUUA
rnacentral:misc_RNA from 1 species